AUAUGCUAAUGGGGUUUUAGUGGCGGUGUAUUUUGUUUCUUCUGCUAUUAUUAGAUCUGUGGUUUUUGUUCGUGGCAUCUCUCUUUUCGAUGAUAGAACGAAAAGUAAUAGAUUUGAUCUGAGUUGAUGGCUUGGAAUUGCGUUUUGUGGGAAAGGCUUUAGUCGACGAUUGUCUCUACUUUAAUUACCAAAUGCUCUAUGACAGUCGAUGGUGUUGUUCGGCGGUGGCGAAUCCAAGGUGUUGAUGAAAGGUAUAAAAUUCACCAAGCAGUGCUGCUCAGUGGGUAGCCAAAGAAGGACGGGUCCUUCGAGAUGGGUUUUCAAACCACCACCUUUUACUUUGGCGUCUUUGCCAGUGAUGGCAUUUUCUUCCCCGGAGAUUCCGACAACAAGACGAUGGGGCUUUCUGGGGAACUUGACGGCAACGGCUCCAGUUGCUUUUUUUUUUUUUUUUUGGGUGAAAGGCUCCUCUUGCUUUAAUUUGUUGUUAGGUUAGGUUUCAUGUUAUUUAUGGAUUUUUAGUUUAAUGGGUUUUGUUGGACCUCUUGUUAGACUUGUAUUUUCUUCUUUCUUCUUUUUUUUUUUGCUUCUAUUUUAUGAAAAUAUAUUGUUUUGGUUAAAAAAAACUUAAUAUAAGGUUUGUCUUUCAUUCA